GAUGAACGCUGGCGGCGUGCCUAAUACAUGCAAGUCGAGCGAACGGACGCGAAGCUUGCUUUUCUGAUGUUAGCGGCGGACGGGUGAGUAACACGUGGAUAACCUACCUAUAAUACUGGUAUAACUGCGGGAAACCGGAGCUAAUACCGGAUAAUAUUUUGAACCGCAUGGUUCAAAAGUGAUAGACUGUCUUGCUGUCACUUAUAGAUGGAUCCGCGCUGCAUUAGCUAGUUGGUAAGGUAACGGCUUACCAAGGCAACGAUGCAUAGCCGACCUGAGCGGGGGAUCGGCCACACUAGAACGGGGACGGGGUCCAGAGUACUGCGGGAGGGAGCAGUAGGGUACCGUCCGCAGCGGGGGAAAGCAUUGCAGAGUGACGGCGCGUGAGUGACAAAGAUGUUGCGAUCGUGAAAAUCUGUUAUUAGGGAAGAACAUAUGUGUAAGUAAAUGUACACAAAUUGACGGUACCUAAUCAGAAAGCCACGGCUAACUACGUG
rnacentral:rRNA from 1 species